rnacentral:rRNA from 1 species
UACGUAGGUGGCAAGCGUUGUCCGGAAUUAUUGGGCGUAAAGGGUGCGUAGGCGGUCUUUUAAGUGGGAUGUGAAAUACCUAGGCUUAACUUAGGAAUGGCAUUCCAAACUGGAAGACUAGAGUGCAGGAGAGGAAAGUGGAAUUCCCAGUGUAGCGGUGAAAUGCGUAGAGAUUGGGAGGAACACCAGUGGCGAAGGCGACUUUCUGGACUGUAACUGACGCUGAGGCACGAAAGCGUGGGGAGCAAACAGG